GCCGCGGGUUCUCUUGGUAUCUUGCCUCAGUCCGUCCUGCUGUAGUCUGAAGUCCCCUUGGUCCAUCCUGGAGGGGAGGCGCCUCAGGCCAGGUGCCCUGACCCAGCCCUGUGCCCACAGCCCCCUCCCCUGCUUCGCUUCCCCGGCUACCGGGGCUGCAUCGAGAUGGACACGCUGAAUGAGGAGGUGGUCAGCCUCUACAACUUCGAGAGGACCUUCCAGCUGGACACGGCUGUGGACAGGCCUUGUGCCCGGUGCGUGUGGCCUGCCCUCCCCGUCUCCACCCACCCCACCCCACCCUCCGCUGACCCCAGAAUCUCCGACCUGCAGCUCCAAGUCGACCGGGGACCCGUGGCUCACGGACGGCUCCUACCUGGAUGGCACCGGCUUCGCCCGCAUCA
rnacentral:sRNA from 1 species